rnacentral:misc_RNA from 1 species
UUAAGUUCAGCGGGUAUCCCUACCUGAUUCGAGGUCAAUCAUAAACAAUUUGGGGUUUCGGCGGAAGAUUUCUCGCUUCCUUCAGUGACAUAAGUUAUUAUUACACUUGGGAGAGCAAGGGUCUUCGCCAUUGGAUUUCGAAGAGGACUCCAACGAAUUGGCUUCCAUCUCCAAGACAAGCAAUAGGUAAACCUAAGCUU